AGUACGUGGUGCGAGCAACAUUGGAGUGAGUCUUUGUACCUCUCCAAGCAUCAUACAUGCACUCAUCAUCGAACUGCACAAAAGAAGAUAUAUCAUUUCUCAAUCU
rnacentral:snoRNA from 1 species